rnacentral:rRNA from 1 species
UACGUAGGUGGCAAGCGUUGUCCGGAUUUACUGGGCGUAAAGAGCGCGCAGGCGGUCGUUCAAGUCGCGUGUGAAAGCCCCCGGCUCAAUUGGGGAGGGUCACGCGAUACUGAUCGACUCGAAGGCAGGAGAGGGUAGUGGAAUUCCCGGUGUAGUGGUGAAAUGCGUAGAGAUCGGAAGGAACACCAGUGGCGAAGGCGGCUACCUGGCCUGAUACUGACACUGAGGCACGAAAGCGUGGGGAGCAAGCAGG